AAAGGGAGACCUAAUUCAGGUAGGAGACGAAAAAAAAGUAGUCCCUACCAAGAAUCAAUCCCAAAAGGUCGGAACGAGGUAUGAGGCUUUCAAACUAGGUUCUGGGUUCAUAAAAGACCUGAAUCAGGAACAAGGGCUAUUAGCUCAGGUGGUUAGAGCGCACCCCUGAUAAGGGUGAGGUCCCUGGUUCGAGUCCAGGAUAGCCCACCUGCACAGGUGGCAAAAACAAGAGAAGCGAGGAAUCAGCACCUUAUCUUAUAUACAUAUAUAAGAGAGAAUGCUGGCUCUGAGUACAGAGUCCAGAGGAACCUUGAAAACUGCAUAGAGCUAGGUGAAAAAGCCAAAAAAGAAGACCGCAAG
rnacentral:tRNA from 1 species